AGCGAACGCUGGCGGCAGGCCUAACACAUGCAAGUCGGACGGAUCCUUCGGGAUUAGUGGCGGACGGGUGAGUAACACGUGGGAACGUGCCCUUUGGUUCGGAACAACUCAGGGAAACUUGAGCUAAUACCGGAUGUGCCCUUCGGGGGAAAGAUUUAUCGCCAUUGGAGCGGCCCGCGUCUGAUUAGCUAGUUGGUGAGGUAACGGCCCACCAAGGCGACGAUCAGUAGCUGGUCUGAGAGGAUGAUCAGCCACACUGGGACUGAGACACGGCCCAGACUCCUACGGGAGGCAGCAGUGGGGAAUCUUGCGCAAUGGGCGAAAGCCUGACGCAGCCAUGCCGCGUGAAUGAUGAAGGUCUUAGGAUUGUAAAAUUCUUUCAGCGGGGACGAUAAUGACGGUACCCGCAGAAGAAGCUCCGGCUAACUUCGUG
rnacentral:rRNA from 1 species